ACUCGAUAAUCCACGCAUACCCAACCCUCUCUCGAACUUCAGCAUGUGUACUGCCGUUGUAAGCAUACCUUUAAAAGAGUAGUAUGCUACCAUGAUUAACAACCCACAUACAUCAGGUCAAAGUGCAGCCAAUGAGGAGGUGAUGAUGGGUUACAACCCCAAAAUAGAUUAUCAACUAAGAAAUAAAAAAUCUUACGAAAGUGGACUUGGCUGUAAUCAAUUUCAAAUUAAAGAAAUGAACCAUAUCUAAGACAUGUACACAUCGCCCGUCACUCUAUCCUAAAGGUUAGAUAAGUCGUAACAAAGUAGGUGUAAUGGAAAUUGUACCUGUCGAAGUAUAGCAUAUAAAAUGCUUUUUACUUACACUAAAAAUAAAGUUAACAAACUUACUUCGCCCACUCAAUACAACCCUCUAAAUACCUAAUAAUAGAAACAAUUAAACACCCAAUCAAAUACAUAGUACAGAAAUGGAACUCACAAUAAAUAAAAGUAAAUUUUAACAAAUGUACCUUGUGCAUUAUGGUUUUACAAGAAAACAAUUAAAAAUAUUAAUCCCGAAUUCUAAAUGAGAUGUUAAGUUGCUGUUAUGAACUCAUUAAUAACUGUAGAAAAAGCUUUAAAAGACAAUUUAACAGAGGCUACAUACCAUACGCAUAAGAAUAUAGCUGGUUUUCAACAAACAUUAUAUAUUAAAACAUAUAACUAUAUUAUAGUGUAAUAUUAUUGAGGAUAAGCCCAAUAAUUAAUGCAAUUUAUUAAAUAUUCUAUUCUACUCCACAGGCCUAAAAUCAGCCAAAUAAAAUACUUUACCGUAAUAUAAGUAGACAUAAUAUAUAAAACACCAAUGCCCAAAAAAGUUGAAAUAGUGAGAAAACUCGUUUUCUUACAUUUAAUAUGUAAAAAUAAGUAUUAAUAUAUAUAAAACAUAGCAAUGCUGUCACAUAACAAAAUAUACCAAAUAAUAAUUAAUUAAGGAACUCGGCAAACUAUUAUUUCGACUGUUUAACAAAAACAUUGUCUUAUGAAUAAAAUAUCAGAUAAUACCU
rnacentral:rRNA from 1 species